GAUGAACGCUAGCGGCAGGCCUAAUACAUGCAAGUCGAGGGGCGGCAUUAUGUAGCAAUACAGAGAUGGCGACCGGCGCGCGGGUGCGUAACACGUAUGCAACCUACCUUCAACAGGAAGAUAGCCUCCCGAAAGGGAGAUUAAUACUCCAUAGGAUAUUAUGAUGGCAUCAUUAUGAUAUUAAAGAUUUAUCGGUUGAAGAUGGGCAUGCGGGACAUUAGCUAGUUGGUGAGGUAACGGCUCACCAAGGCUACGAUGUCUAGGGGUUUUGAGAGGAUGAUCCCCCACACUGGUACUGAGACACGGACCAGACUCCUACGGGAGGCAGCAGUAAGGAAUAUUGGUCAAUGGAGGGAACUCUGAACCAGCCAUGCCGCGUGCAGGAAGACGGCCCUAUGGGUUGUAAACUGCUUUUAUAUGGGAAUAAAAAUUUACUCUUGAGUAGACUUGAAUGUACCAUAUGAAUAAGGAUCGGCUAACUCCGUGCCAGCAGCCGCGGUAAUACGGAGGAUCCAAGCGUUAUCCGGAUUCAUUGGGUUUAAAGGGUGCGUAGGCGGAUUAUUAAGUCAGUGGUGAAAUCCUACAGCUUAACUGUAGAACUGCCAUUGAUACUGGUAAUCUUGAGUACAAUCGGAGUGGGCGGAAUAUGUCAUGUAGCGGUGAAAUGCAUAGAUAUGACAUAGAACCCCGAUAGCGAAGGCAGCUCACUAGAAUGUAACUGACGCUGAUGCACGAAAGCGUGGGGAUCAAACAGGAUUAGAUACCCUGGUAGUCCACGCCGUAAACGAUGAUUACUCGAUGUCUGCGAUAUACAGUAGGCGUCUAAGCGAAAGUGAUAAGUAAUCCACCUGGGGAGUACGAUCGCAAGGUUGAAACUCAAAGGAAUUGACGGGGGCCCGCACAAGCGGAGGAGCAUGUGGUUUAAUUCGAUGAUACGCGAGGAACCUUACCUGGGCUUGAAAGUUAGUGCUUAAAUGGGAAACUAUUUAUUCCUUCGGGACACGAAACUAGGUGCUGCAUGGCUGUCGUCAGCUCGUGCCGUGAGGUGUUGGGUUAAGUCCCGCAACGAGCGCAACCCCUAUUAUUAGUUGCCAGCGAUUCGGUCGGGGACUCUAAUAAAACUGCCGGUGCAAACCGCGAGGAAGGUGGGGAUGACGUCAAGUCAUCACGGCCCUUACGUCCAGGGCUACACACGUGCUACAAUGGUAGGGACAAAGGGCAGCUACCUGGUAACAGGAUGCGAAUCUCUAAACCCUAUCUCAGUUCGGAUUGAGGUCUGUAACUCGACCUUAUGAAGCUGGAUUCGCUAGUAAUCGCAUAUCAGCCAUGAUGCGGUGAAUACGUUCCCGGGCCUU
rnacentral:rRNA from 2 species